UUGGAUGGUAACAAUAACCUGGAGGAUGAC
rnacentral:piRNA from 2 species